rnacentral:snRNA from 1 species
AUCACUUCUUAUCUCUAUGAACUGAGGUUAUGUGUAGUGUCUGUUCUUUGCAGUGUAAUUUCUGCAAUGGACUCCGAACUGAGACCAAUGAAAUUCAGACGGGUGCUGUGAGCUUGUGUCAUGGUCAGCCUCCUAUUGGAUUAUCUCAAGGAUUGACCCAUUAAUA